rnacentral:rRNA from 1 species
UGGCAGUCAGAGGCGAUGAAGGGCGUGCUAAUCUGCGAUAAGCGCCGGUAAGGUGAUAUGAACCGUUAUAACCGGCGAUACCCGAAUGGGGAAACCCAGUGUGAUUCGUCACACUAUCAUUAACUGAAUCCAUAGGUUAAUGAGGCGAACCGGGGGAACUGAAACAUCUAAGUACCCCGAGGAAAAGAAAUCAACCGAGAUUCCCCCAGUAGCGGCGAGCGAACGGGGAGGAGCCCAGAGCCUGAAUCAGCAUGUGUGUUAGUGGAAGCGUCUGGAAAGGCGCGCGAUACAGGGUGACAGCCCCGUACACAAAAGCGCAUGUGCUGUGAGCUCGAUGAGUAGGGCGGGACACGUGGUAUCCUGUCUGAAUAUGGGGGGACCAUCCUCCAAGGCUAAAUACUCCUGACUGACCGAUAGUGAACCAGUACCGUGAGGGAAAGGCGAAAAGAACCCCGGCGAGGGGAGUGAAAAAGAACCUGAAACCGUGUACGUACAAGCAGUGGGAGCACCCUUCGGGGUGUGACUGCGUACCUUUUGUAUAAUGGGUCAGCGACUUAUAUUCUGUAGCAAGGUUAACCGUAUAGGGGAGCCGGAGGGAAACCGAGUCUUAACCGGGCGUUAAGUUGCAGGGUAUAGACCCGAAACCCGGUGAUCUAGCCAUGGGCAGGUUGAAGGUUGGGUAACACUAACUGGAGGACCGAACCGACUAAUGUUGAAAAAUUAGCGGAUGACCUGUGGCUGGGGGUGAAAGGCCAAUCAAACCGGGAGAUAGCUGGUUCUCCCCGAAAGCUAUUUAGGUAGCGCCUCGUGAAUUCAUCUCCGGGGGUAGAGCACUGUUUCGGCUAGGGGGCCAUCCCGGCUUACCAACCCGAUGCAAACUGCGAAUACCGGAGAAUGUUAUCACGGGAGACACACGGCGGGUGCUAACGUCCGUCGUGAAGAGGGAAACAACCCAGACCGCCAGCUAAGGUCCCAAAGUCAUGGUUAAGUGGGAAACGAUGUGGGAAGGCCCAGACAGCCAGGAUGUUGGCUUAGAAGCAGCCAUCAUUUAAAGAAAGCGUAAUAGCUCACUGGUCGAGUCGGCCUGCGCGGAAGAUGUAACGGGGCUAAACCAUGCACCGAAGCUGCGGCAGCGAACGUAUCACCCAAGACAACUUUACGGAGUUGACGAUUGACGGAGCGAAGCGACGUCAAAGCGUUCAUUAAAGUCGAGUUGGCUUAGGGAUACGUUCGUUGGGUAGGGGAGCGUUCUGUAAGCCUGUGAAGGUGUGUCGUGAGGCAUGCUGGAGGUAUCAGAAGUGCGAAUGCUGACAUAAGUAACGAUAAAGCGGGUGAAAAGCCCGCUCGCCGGAAGACCAAGGGUUCCUGUCCAACGUUAAUCGGGGCAGGGUGAGUCGACCCCUAAGGCGAGGCCGAAAGGCGUAGUCGAUGGGAAACGGGUUAAUAUUCCCGUACUUGGUGUUACUGCGAAGGGGGGACGGAGAAGGCUAUGUUGGCCGGGCGACGGUUGUCCCGGUUUAAGCGUGUAGGUGUGUGUUCCAGGUAAAUCCGGUUCACUUUAACACUGAGGCGUGACGACGAGGCACUACGGUGCUGAAGCAACAAAUGCCCUGCUUCCAGGAAAAGCCUCUAAGCAUCAGGUAACACGAAAUCGUACCCCAAACCGACACAGGUGGUCAGGUAGAGAAUACCAAGGCGCUUGAGAGAACUCGGGUGAAGGAACUAGGCAAAAUGGUGCCGUAACUUCGGGAGAAGGCACGCUGACACGUAGGUGAAGUGAUUUACUCAUGGAGCUGAAGUCAGUCGAAGAUACCAGCUGGCUGCAACUGUUUAUUAAAAACACAGCACUGUGCAAACACGAAAGUGGACGUAUACGGUGUGACGCCUGCCCGGUGCCGGAAGGUUAAUUGAUGGGGUCAGCGCAAGCGAAGCUCCUGAUCGAAGCCCCGGUAAACGGCGGCCGUAACUAUAACGGUCCUAAGGUAGCGAAAUUCCUUGUCGGGUAAGUUCCGACCUGCACGAAUGGCGUAAUGAUGGCCAGGCUGUCUCCACCCGAGACUCAGUGAAAUUGAACUCGCUGUGAAGAUGCAGUGUACCCGCGGCAAGACGGAAAGACCCCGUGAACCUUUACUAUAGCUUGACACUGAACAUUGAGCCUUGAUGUGUAGGAUAGGUGGGAGGCUUUGAAGUGUGGACGCCAGUCUGCAUGGAGCCGACCUUGAAAUACCACCCUUUAAUGUUUGAUGUUCUAACGUGGACCCGUAAUCCGGGUUGCGGACAGUGUCUGGUGGGUAGUUUGACUGGGGCGGUCUCCUCCUAAAGAGUAACGGAGGAGCACGAAGGUUGGCUAAUCCUGGUCGGACAUCAGGAGGUUAGUGCAAUGGCAUAAGCCAGCUUGACUGCGAGCGUGACGGCGCGAGCAGGUGCGAAAGCAGGUCAUAGUGAUCCGGUGGUUCUGAAUGGAAGGGCCAUCGCUCAACGGAUAAAAGGUACUCCGGGGAUAACAGGCUGAUACCGCCCAAGAGUUCAUAUCGACGGCGGUGUUUGGCACCUCGAUGUCGGCUCAUCACAUCCUGGGGCUGAAGUAGGUCCCAAGGGUAUGGCUGUUCGCCAUUUAAAGUGGUACGCGAGCUGGGUUUAGAACGUCGUGAGACAGUUCGGUCCCUAUCUGCCGUGGGCGCUGGAGAACUGAGGGGGGCUGCUCCUAGUACGAGAGGACCGGAGUGGACGCAUCACUGGUGUUCGGGUUGUCAUGCCAAUGGCACUGCCCGGUAGCUAAAUGCGGAAGAGAUAAGUGCUGAAAGCAUCUAAGCACGAAACUUGCCCCGAGAUGAGUUCUCCCUGAGACUUAGAGUCUCCUGAAGGAACGUUGAAGACGACGACGUUGAUAGGCCGGGUGUGUAAGCGCAGCGAUGCGUUGAGCUAACCGGUACUAAUGAACCGUGAGGCUUAACCUU